rnacentral:tRNA from 1 species
UAGCUCAAUUGGUAGAGUGCUUGCCUUGCACGCACAAGGCCCUGGGUUCAAUCCCCAG